UCAACCGGACGGCAAGGCAGGGGUUGGCCGGGGAAGCACUGCGCCGCCCCUGCAUGCCCUGCAUCCUCGGGUCCUGGGAGGGCUGCUCAGUAACUGGAAGGAAAAUGAAACUGAAAAAGAGCAAGGGUCCCGUAGGAUUGAACACAGUUGGUGAAACUUGGGCCGUCUGCCUCAAGUCCCCGCUUGGCAAAACCACUCCCUCCUGGUGGACGCCCUCACCAUGAAGUGUCCCGCUGUCACCCAGGCUGGAGUACAGUGAGCUGUGAGGUGACCACGGCUCACAGCCUCAACCUUGGGCUCCAGCAGUCCUCCUGCCUUGGCUGGAUUCAGUGCUGGGGUUACAGGUGUGAGCCACUGCUCCCGGCCAAAGUCUCAUUUUUGAUGCCUCAGUUCCCACCCAAGACAUCACGUCUCAUACUCUGCUUCCUGUGUCUUGUGAACAGUGACAGUGCUGUAGGAAAGAGUAAGCUGGAAAAAGAGAAGGUUCAGAACGACAGUGCUGACGCAGACAUCACACAGCGG
rnacentral:lncRNA from 1 species